rnacentral:rRNA from 1 species
CAAGGAAUCUUCCGCAAUGGGCGAUGAGCCUGACGGAGCAACGCCGCGUGGGGGAUGAGGCCCUUCGGGGUGUAAACCCCUUUUCUGUGGGAAGAAGCACUGACGGUACCACAGGAAGAAGGACCGGCUAACUACGUGCCAGCAGCCGCGGUAAUACGUAGGGUCCGAGCGUUGUCCGGAGUUACUGGGCGUAAAGCGCGCGCAGGCGGCGGUGUUGGCCCGGCGUGAAAGCCCCCGGCUCAACCGGGGAGAGUCGUCGGGGACCGCACCGCUUGAGGGCGGUAGGGGCUGGUGGAAUGCCUGGUGUAGUGGUGAAAUGCGUAGAGAUCAGGCAGAACACCUGGGGCGAAGGCGGCCAGCUGGGCCGUCCCUGACGCUGAGGCGCGAAGGCGUGGGGAGCGAACGGGAUUAGAUACCCCCGUAGUCC